rnacentral:rRNA from 1 species
CAUACGAUCUAAGGAUGAAAGUGGGGGAUCGCAAGACCUCAUGCUCGUGGAGCGGCCGAUAUCUGAUUAGCUAGUUGGUAGGGUAAAAGCCUACCAAGGCAUCGAUCAGUAGCUGGUCUGAGAGGACGACCAGCCACACUGGAACUGAGACACGGUCCAGACUCCUACGGGAGGCAGCAGUGGGGAAUUUUGGACAAUGGGCGCAAGCCUGAUCCAGCAAUGCCGCGUGAGUGAAGAAGGCCUUCGGGUUGUAAAGCUCUUUUGUCAGGGAAGAAACGGUGAGGGCUAAUAUCUUUUGCUAAUGACGGUACCUGAAGAAUAAGCACCGGCUAACUACGUGCCAGCAGCCGCGGUAAUACGUAGGGUGCAAGCGUUAAUCGGAAUUACUGGGCGUAAAGCGUGCGCAGGCGGUUUUGUAAGUCUGAUGUGAAAUCCCCGGGCUCAACCUGGGAAUUGCAUUGGAGACUGCAAGGCUAGAAUCUGGCAGAGGGGGGUAGAAUUCCACGUGUAGCAGUGAAAUGCGUAGAUAUGUGGAGGAACACCGAUGGCGAAGGCAGCCCCCUGGGUCAAGAUUGACGCUCAUGCACGAAAGCGUGGGGAGCAAAC